rnacentral:lncRNA from 1 species
CGGGGAGGGAGGGAAAGGAGAGGAGGAAGGAAGAAGAGUGGAGAUGGAGAGGGAAGGAGGGGGAGAGGAGAAAAAGAAGGGGACGGGGGAGGGUCAAAGGGAAGGACGGUACAGGAGGUCCUCAUGGGGGCAUCGCUUUAGCAUCCUUCAACCCCUAGAAUUGAGGAAGGAGGAACCAGUCUCUGAGCUGUGCGACCCCCAAGCUGCUGGCUUCUCCGACCUCAACUGUGUUAUGGAGCCGCCAGGGGGCGGCGCGACCCUGUUGGUCGCCAAGGGGAUCUCCGUGCUUCCUCGUCGAGGCUGCGACCUGUCGCUUCCAAUGCCUGGUCCUUGCAUGGCCAACGACCUCUACCCUCUCCCAGAGGCCUUAAGCUUGUAACCUGUCCCCUCCUGGACUGUGAAAAGAACAUAUAGCCCGACCUCCCUGCCAACAAGCUGUACCAUCGGGAAGAGGAGAGCCCAACGGUAGAAGCUCAUCAAUGAUUCCCAGCCUCUGUUUCCAUCAGAAUUGCUUGAUGAAGCUCCUUUAACACAAAUAGAUUUACUCACAUUCCUUAACUGUAAAAGGUGUGCAUGUGCCAGCAGGGGUUCUGGAAUCAUGUACCUUUGUCAGAGCUCCCCCAUUUAAUUCUGAUACAAUUCCACGUGGGUAUUA